rnacentral:rRNA from 1 species
GUCGAACGCUGGCGGCAUGCCUAAUACAUGCAAGUCGAACGAGUGGCGGACGGGUGAGUAAUUUCUGGGAAACUGCCUGGUGGAGGUGGCUAACUACUGGAAACGGUAGCUAGUACCGCAUACCAUCGGAUGUGCCCACGUGGGAUUAGCUUGUUGGUGGGGUAACGGCUCACCAAGGCGACGAUCCCUAGCUGGUCUGAGAGGAUGACCAGCCACAUUGGGACUGAGACACGGCCCAGACUCCUACGGGAGGCAGCAGUGGGGAAUAUUGCACAAUGGGCGCAAGCCUGAUGCAGCAACGCCGCGUGAAUGAAGAAGGCCUUCGGGUUGUAAAGUACUGUCGGUGGGGAGGCGUUAAUCGAAGAAGAAGCACCGGCUAACUACGUGCCAGCAGCCGCGGUAAUAC